CCUACGGGAGGCUGCAGUGGGGAAUAUUGCACAAUGGGCGCAAGCCUGAUGCAGCCAUGCCGCGUGUGUGAAGAAGGCCUUCGGGUUGUAAAGCACUUUCAGCGGGGAGGAAGGCGUUAAGGUUAAUAACCUUGGCGAUUGACGUUACCCGCAGAAGAAGCACCGGCUAACCCCGUGCCAGCAGCCGCGGUAAUACGGAGGGUGCAAGCGUUAAUCGGAAUUACUGGGCGUAAAGCGCACGCAGGCGGUCUGUCAAGUCGGAUGUGAAAUCCCCGGGCUCAACCUGGGAACUGCAUUCGAAACUGGCAGGCUAGAGUCUUGUAGAGGGGGGUAGAAUUCCAGGUGUAGCGGUGAAAUGCGUAGAGAUCUGGAGGAAUACCGGUGGCGAAGGCGGCCCCCUGGACAAAGACUGACGCUCAGGUGCGAAAGCGUGGGGAGCAAACAGGAUUAAUACCCGGGUAGUC
rnacentral:rRNA from 1 species